GACGAACGCUGGCGGCGUGCUUAAUACAUGCAAGUCGAACGCGAAAGUUCCUUUCGGGGAGCGAGUAGAGUGGCGAACGGGUGAGUAACGCGUAGAUUAUCUACCCUUGAGAUUGAGAUACCACCGGGAAACUGGUGUUAAUACCGAAUGAUGCUUUUUGCUGAGAGGUAAAAGGUUAAAGGAGGGCAACUUCCGCUUGAGGAUGAGUCUGCGUUCUAUCAGCUAGAUGGUGGGGUAACGGCCUACCAUGGCGAAGACGGAUAGCUGGUCUGAGAGGAUGAUCAGCCACACUGGCACUGAGACACGGGCCAGACUCCUACGGGAGGCAGCAGUAGGGAAUAUUGCGCAAUGGGCGAAAGCCUGACGCAGCGACGCCGCGUGAGUGAUGAAGGUCCUCUGGAUUGUAAAGCUCUGUAAGGAGGGAAGAACCGCCUGGUGUAACGGCCAGGUCUGACGGUACCUCCAAAGUAAGCACCGGCUAAAUAAGU
rnacentral:rRNA from 1 species